UACGGCGAGUGAAGCGGCAAGAGCUCAAAUUUGAAAUCUGGCCUCCUCCGGGGGUCCGAGUUGUAAUUUGCAGAGGAUGCUUCGGGUGCGGCCCCCGUCUAAGUUCCUUGGAACAGGACGUCAGAGAGGGUGAGAAUCCCGUCUUGGGCGGGCGGCCCGCGCCCGUGUGAAGCUCCUUCGACGAGUCGAGUUGUUUGGGAAUGCAGCUCUAAGCGGGUGGUAAAUUUCAUCUAAAGCUAAAUAUUGGCCGGAGACCGAUAGCGCACAAGUAGAGUGAUCGAAAGGUUAAAAGCACCUUGAAAAGGGAGUUAAACAGCACGUGAAAUUGUUGAAAGGGAAGCGCUUGCGGCCAGACUCGGGGGCGGGGUUCAGCGGGCGCUCGUCGCCCGUGCACUCCCCGCGCCCCGGGCCAGCAUCAGUUUCGACGGUCGGUCAAAGGCCCCCGGAAUGUGUCGUCUCUAGGGACGUCUUAUAGCCGGGGGUGCAAUGCGGCCCGUCGGGACUGAGGAACGCGCUUCGGCUCGGAUGCUGGCGUAAUGGCCGUAAGCGGCCCGUCUUGAAACACGGACCAAGGAGUCUAACAUCCACGCGAGUGUUCGGGUGUCAAACCCGUGCGCGCAGUGAAAGCGAACGGAGGUGGGAGCCUUUGGGCGCACCAUCGACCGAUCCUGAAGUCUUCGGAUGGAUUUGAGUAGGAGCGUGGCCGUUGGGACCCGAAAGAUGGUGAACUAUGCCUGAAUAGGGUGAAGCCAGAGGAAACUCUGGUGGAGGCUCGCAGCGGUUCUGACGUGCAAAUCGAUCGUCAAAUUUGGGGCAUAGGGGGCGAAAGACUAAUCGAACCAUCUAGUAGCUGGUUCCUGCCC
rnacentral:rRNA from 1 species